UACGUAGGGUGCAAGCGUUGUCCGGAAUUAUUGGGCGUAAAGAGCUCGUAGGCGGUCUGUCGCGUCGGCUGUGAAAACCCAGGGCUCAACCCCGGGCCUGCAGUCGAUACGGGCAGACUAGAGUGCGGUAGGGGAGACUGGAAUUCCUGGUGUAGCGGUGAAAUGCGCAGAUAUCAGGAGGAACACCGGUGGCGAAGGCGGGUCUCUGGGCCGUAACUGACGCUGAGGAGCGAAAGCGUGGGGAGCGAACAGG
rnacentral:rRNA from 1 species